GACGAACCGAGCGAACGUUGUUCGGAAUCACUGGGCUUAAAGGGCGCGUACGCGGGUUCUCAAGUCCGGGGUGAAAUCCCACAGCUCAACUGUGGAACUGCCUCGGAUACCGGGAGUCUCGAGGGUGGCAGGGGUAUGCGGAACUAUCGGUGGAGCGGUGAAAUGCGUUGAUAUCGAUAGGAACUCCGGUGGCGAAGGCGGCAUACUGGUCCACUUCUGACGCUGAGGCGCGAAAGCCAGGGGAGCAAACGGG
rnacentral:rRNA from 1 species